GCCUGGGUGGCUCAGUCGGUUGAGCGUCUGACUUCGGCUCAGGUCACGAUCUCGCGGUCCGUGAGUUCGGGCCCCGCGUCGGGCU
rfam:Felis catus isolate Cinnamon breed Abyssinian chromosome C1, whole genome shotgun sequence.